rnacentral:rRNA from 1 species
UCCACGCCCUAAACGAUGUACACUAGUUGUUGGAGUGCUAGUCACUUCAGUAAUGCAGUUAACACAUUAAGUGUACCGCCUGGGGAGUACGGUCGCAAGAUUAAAACUCAAAGGAAUAGACGGGGACCCGCACAAGCGGUGGAGCAUGUGGUUUAAUUCGAAAAUACACGAAGAACCUUACCUAGCCUUGAUAUCCUUGGAAUCUCUCAGAGAUGAGAGAGUGCUAGUUUACU